rnacentral:lncRNA from 1 species
AAGGUUUUGCUAAAUUGAAAUACGACUAUACACAGCUCUUAAACUGGAGUGGUCAAUCCCAUCUUGACACACGCACCGACAAGUCAAGUACUUGACUACACCCAGCAGCCUUCCGUCACUGAAUUAAAAAUUCAGGUAGUCCAGUGCCUAAGUAUAGUGAGUUGCUUGCAAGUCACCGUGGCGGUCUCAGGUCGGAGGGAUAUUUAUACCCAUAUUCCAUC